CCUACGGGAGGCAGCAGUGGGGAAUAUUGCACAAUGGGCGAAACCCUGAAGCAGCGACGCCGCGUGAGUGAAGAAGUAUUUCGGUAUGUAAAGCUUUAUCAGCAGGGAAGAAAAUGACGGUACCUGAUUAAGAAGCCCCGGCCCACUACGUGCCAGCAGCCGCGGCAAUACGGAGGGGGCAAGCGUAAUCCGGAGUUACUGGGGGUAAAGGGAGUGUAGACGGGAGCACAAGUCUGGAGGUAAAUGCCGGGGCUUAAGCCCGGAAGUGCUUGGGAAACUGGGCAGCUAGAGUGCAGGAGAGGUAAGUGGAAUUCGUGGUGUAGCGGUGAAAUGCUUAGAUAUCAGGAAGAACUCAGGUGGCGAGGGCGGCAUACUGGCGUGCAACGGACGUUGAGGCUCGAAAGUGUGGGGAUCAAACAGGAUUAGAUACCCGGGUAGUC
rnacentral:rRNA from 1 species